rnacentral:rRNA from 1 species
AUUGAACGCUGGCGGCAUGCCUUACACAUGCAAGUCGAACGGCAGCACGGGUGCUUGCACCUGGUGGCGAGUGGCGAACGGGUGAGUAAUACAUCGGAACAUGUCCUGUAGUGGGGGAUAGCCCGGCGAAAGCCGGAGUAAUACCGCAUACGAUCUACGGAUGAAAGCGGGGGACCUUCGGGCCUCGCGCUAUAGGGUUGGCCGAUGGCUGAUUAGCUAGUUGGUGGGGUAAAGGCCUACCAAGGCGACGAUCAGUAGCUGGUCUGAGAGGACGACCAGCCACACUGGGACUGAGACACGGCCCAGACUCCUACGGGAGGCAGCAGUGGGGAAUUUUGGACAAUGGGCGAAAGCCUGAUCCAGCAAUGCCGCGUGUGUGAAGAAGGCCUUCGGGUUGUAAAGCACUUUUGUCCGGAAAGAAAUCCUUGGCCCUAAUACGGUCGGGGGAUGACGGUACCGGAAGAAUAAGCACCGGCUAACUACGUG